GGCGUUGUGAAAAAGCCGGCUUUUAAUGAGUUGAUGUGAAAAGCUGCACGCACAUUAGACUUUUUUUUCCUGGUGUCCCAGAGGGAGAAGGCAGCCUGGCAGGUCUGCAUCCUUUGAGUACCACCUCUGCUGCUACUUACAGGUUAUAUGAAGCAGAUGCUGGCAAGGAUAUGGAGAAAGAGGAACACUCCUCCAUUGUUAGUGGGAUUGCAAGCUUGUACAACCACUCUGGAAAUCAGUGAAGCAGUUCCUCAGAAAACUGGACAUAGUACUACCGGAGUAUCCCACAAUACCUCUCCUGGGCAUAUAUCCAGAAGAUGUUCCAACCGGAGACAUGCUGUACUCUUGGAACUUUCUCGACAAAAGAAAACAUGCAUAAGACUCCUCACCUCUCUGCUUCUGCCCAUAAAACUUUCCUCUGAUUCAAAGGAAUCCAGCCAUCUCUCGUUAACUCACUCAGCCUUGAUUCAUUUAAUCACUCUAAAGCUCUGCUAAGUACUUGUUAUGUGCUGUGAAUGAAACUGUUGCUAAGUACAAGCAAAUAAACAUUGCCACUUUCCUAAUGUGGUAUCUAACAGGCACAGGGUAGUGAAAUGAGCCCUAUGGAAGAGCUGUGGGCAGGGCAACCUAAAGGAGGUUGACAACUUAAUGGCAAGUAGGAGAGCAUUUUUGAGAGAGAGUGUACUUAAAUUACCAUUCAAAUGUAAGAAAACUUAGACUGCAAAAGUGGGAAGGAAGGUCUUUGGGAGAGAAGAGUAAGAUUCUGAAGAUCUUGAGAUACAAAGAAAAAAAAUGAAACAUUUAGGAUAAUGGCUAGCAGAAAAUUUGAAAGUCAGGAGAGUGAAAGCUUCAGUUUUGCAGUCAAUCUUAAAUAUGAAUCUGAAUGUAUAUUUCCCUUCCUGGAAACUUUUCACUAGCUUCCAAACACUUAUGGAAUAAAGAAUGUAUGUCAGUG
rnacentral:lncRNA from 1 species